UACAGAGGUCCCAAGCGUUGUUCGGAUUCAUUGGGCGUAAAGGGUGCGUAGGCGGCGCGGUAAGUCGGGUGUGAAAUCUCGGAGCUUAACUCCGAAACUGCAUUCGAUACUGCCGUGCUUGAGGACUGGAGAGGAGACUGGAAUUUACGGUGUAGCGGUGAAAUGCGUAGAUAUCGUAAGGAAGACCAGUGGCGAAGGCGGGUCUCUGGGCCGGUACUGACGCUGAGGAGCGAAAGCGUGGGGAGCAAACAGG
rnacentral:rRNA from 1 species